CGAAUCUGCCUUUGUUAGAGAUGGCAUUGUUCAACAGUCUUUCAUAUUCGAGACGCGGUAGCGUGAACGUGCUACGGAAUACUUACCUACUUGAACGUUACAAUUUUUGUGUUUAGCAAGUGUUUUAGCGAUUGGUAAGAAGUGCUAGAUGCUGGAUAAAAUAUAAAAUCUAAUUAUUCGAAAGUCGACUUGUAAAUUAUCUAUAAAAAGGAUUUAUUCAGAGAUGGACCAUACGGCAACCAGAUAGAUUAUUCCACAUGUGGAAAACCCUCCCCUGAUGCACUUCGUGAUACACAAAGAAGCUUCUUCCAGUAACACAAUUCCUCACAAAUUCUUUUCCAUGCUGUUAUGGUAAGUUUUUACCCUAUUUCUUUUUGAUUAUUUACUAUUGCUGUAUUAUUUGUUAUAAUGUCCGCAUUUUAAUCGUAAAAUGCAGUUUCAUUUUUAAAAAAGUGAUACAGUAUAUUCAUUCGUUACCUUUUCUAUUUAUUAAUCAAAAAUUAUGAAUGAAAAAACACAAAUCUCAGUUCUCAGAUUCUGUUGCAAGUCAUUACAAUUAGAUAUGGACAUGAUUUGAAUAAUGUACCGGGUCUGAUAUCUACAAAAUCGCCUAAAACUUUCAAUUUUUAUAUGUAUUUUAUAUGUAGAUAUUUUAUUAUACACAGAAAUUUAUUAUACAUAGAAACCUAACCUCAAUAUUUAACCAAUGGCGAAACAGAAAGCGGCAGAAUAUCUCACGUGAGAUUGAUGUUAUCAGAAAAAGUUUUAACAAAAGUUGUUUAGUUCGGAUGAAGACAUUACAUACGGAGCAAAUUACUUUUUUGUAGAUCCAGUAGUAGGGUUUCAUUUCAACUUCAUUUUUACAAAUGGAACCAUAUAUUUUUUUAUACAUUCAUCGAUCAAUCUUUGUAUUUCUUAUGAAAAAAUUAAAAAGAUCUAGUUCUUAGGUCUUAGUUUACCAGAUAUCUUAACUUGAAUUCAUCGUAUGAAAGCCAGGUAAGGACGCGAAACGGCACUCUUGUGUUUACGUUGUACCUGUUUUUCGUUUAUUUCUGCGUAAACACAAUACUGCUUCGUGUCAUGUGUUUAUCUUUCAUACGACAAUUUAAACGGAAGAUAUAAUUUAAAUUAACAAUUUUUCGACAUAAAUAGGUUAAUAUUUUUUUAUAUGAUAUGAAACGUUACGUUAUCGGUUACACUACUGUUGUUUACAAAGCACGAGUUUCGGCUGAUUGGUAGGUUAAAAAAAAAAAACAAUAACAAGAAAGAACCGAUUCGGAAGGACGAACCUUUCGUUUACCUCCGAAUCUUUCAUCAAACAGGUCAUAUUGUAGGAUGUUAACAUACUUUCCGCGGUGAACGUAUGUAAUAUUGUUUAUGAAUAUUGUUUUGUUAUAGUUAUUAACUAUACUUAUUGUUAUAUAUAUUUAUAUUGUACUAUAAGAAUGUAGCCUAAAAUCCGCCUGUUUUAAACCCCCUCCUUUAAUAUGUAAUAAUGUAAAUAAUUAUGUAAUUAGAUACUUGUAGACAUGAACGCACAAAAGAUAUAUGGAUGCUAACAUUAUUUCGUUUAACGGAAUCAUCGAACAACACAAACAAUUCCUUUUCACAUUAUUUUCCGAGAUAAGAAGGCGCAGUUCCGUUUUUAACGGAAACUACGAGGGUUGUCUGACCCAUCUCAUUAUUUUCCAUUUAUAAUUUCUAUAAAAAAACUAAAUCGUCACCGCGAUGUGUGUAUUAUCGUCUGCUUAUACUUUAACUCGUACCUCCCGUCCCGACAUCUGCACGCUGCUUGAACGGAGAGCACAUCAAAAUCAGAUUCGCACUUAAUGUUUUAAAUACCAUUGUAUUACCGUUAUCGAUAUGAUUCACAUAUUUCACACAUCAUAAUUUUUUUGAGAGCAAAAAUAUUUCAGUCAUAGCGUCUACCCCCAAUUUUUCUGCACUUUUCUCUUGUGGUUGACAGAACAUUCAUAAGCAUCUGUUUCCUUCCAUUUUUUAUGUUCUGGAGUUUCUUCCCUUUCCUUCCAAUACUAAAUUGAGUGUCAGGAAGCAUAUUUUACUUUGUGAAGGGAUGCCUUGUUCAGUGAAGUAUGUUAUAUUAUAGAACUUAUACAGGUCUUGUAUCUUUACAAUAUCACUUUUUUAAUUUCUGAUAUAGAUGUCCACAGCUCAUAGUACUUUCUGAAACACAGGAUGCACCUAACUCGCUUUUCUUUCCCCGCGUUAUUUGAAAACUUAUUAUCACAUAUAAAACAGCUCACAGGUUUGAUAAUUUCGAUCGAUGACUCUAUGUCGGAUUUCUUUCUGAUAAACACGUUCCUGAUUUCGUUCUUUCGUAUCUUUCUCGAGGUAUGAAAUUAGGCAGGAAACCAUUUUCUGAGCGUGAGAGUUCAAGAAGCGAGAGAACAGGAUUGCCAGUUUUGAAUAUGAAAAUAGAAGCAAUGUGCAUCAAAACUAAAGCUUAGAAUUGAGGUGUGAGUGUUGUCCGGAUAGUUGUAACUGCUGGCUGUAGAUGUCGCUAAUGGGAUACUGCUGCAUUUUUGGCCAAAUUAAGUCUUGUGCAAGAAAAAUCGGACUACGGACUCCGGGAUUUGAACCUGGAUCCCGAACGUUUGUAAUCUCUGCGCUGCCGUUGUCCGGUCCUAGUUGGUGUCGAGUGCCGCUACAGAAUUAUAUACUUUAGUUGAAAUACGAUCUCAAAUGUUAGGAAAUAACGUAGUAUACCACUAGCGAAAAAAUACAGCGCUACAGAAACCUCUCGAAACGCAUUUCUUUUCGUUUGCUGUUACUUUUCUAGCGAUAUAUCUAUUUCAAAUUCCGAUUGCCGCUCAUAGAUUGGUGCACUUAACAGGAGUACAAGUCCCCCUUGAUACCAUUCAAUUUCUAUAUGAAACAUUUUGCCCUAUUUUUAUACGUAUAGAAAUAAUAGCGCAUAUACACUUAAAAUGGACAUAUUGUAUACGUUAUGACUUUAUGACUUAUGACUGUUUAAUGUAAUUAUAACGGUAUUUACAUGUAGAUUCUAUCUCAAAAAACAUGAAAUUUAAGAAAAAAUAUUAAAUUGAAGUUAAGUUUCGCUUGCGAUGAACCAAGUAUCUAACUGAGGUUGGUGAUGCGUGUGAUUUCGAUACCCAAUCUUGCAGAGAUUCUUCGUAGCGAAUCUGUUGACCAGCUAAACCCGUUUAACCUUUCUUACUACCCGUUUCACACCUCAGAAGUUAGGAAAAAAUUAAUACUGGCAAAUAAGAAGGAAAUCGUGGCGCUCGUGAGAUUUUCGUUUAAAGUAUUUUUACUUUGCGUUGGCCCUAACUUUUCUAUAGUCUAAAUCGAGCGUACGAUCUCUAAAUAAAUCGGGAAGGAUAUACGUUGCGCUGACAUAACUCCUUCUCUCUUAAAUGUGAUAUCGUUCGUUGGGAUGCUUUCACAAUCGUAGAUCGAACGCGUGGUAAGAAAAUGUUGAAGCGAACUAUUGCACUGUAGCCUGCGUGUUUCUAUGUGUAUAUGUAGGACUUAUCGUUGCAUCUUUUGUGUGUGUAAAUUUUCCUUGGCUACGGUCCAUUCCUUGAAGAAAAUGGUCAGCUGCUAUCGGCUGUAAUGUUUAGCUUGGACAAUUGAUGUGUCAAUUCUUUAUUUUCACGACAGACUGUGCAGGAUCACUCACGGAAUGACUCAAUUACGAUACAGCUUGAUUCCGUUCUUGCUUGUUCUUCCAGAACGUUUUUAUCCUAACAGUUUCAAUCUUCAUUUUAUUAGUCUUGAAUUGGAAUACCAUCCACUCUGACCGUCUCUGAAUGAGACAAUUUAGCAAUUUUUUAGCCUUUAUUCCCGCAGUGACAAAGAGUAGACUACGACGAUGUUGCCCACAUGACACGAUAUACUUAUAAUUUGAAAACUGUGGUCUAAUACGGUUUGAAAAUUGAACAAAUCACCGUGUAACACGUUAUUUGCAUAACAUCCUUUCACUCCAUCGAGAAUGGUUUUCAAUCAUUGGAGAAAUUGAAUAAGAAAAUAACGAAAGGCAGACCAUUGAAUUAUAAAGCAGUCGACAGUCAUAACAGUUUGUCCCUUCAGACAUAUGUACGGCAUCGUAUUCCACCGUAUAGCACCGUAUAUCACCGUAUUCUAGGAGCUUCAAUUUUUGCCUAACCAGUUUUGAAAUGGGAACAGAAAGCACUAGUUUAAGUGCGCAGCUAAUAAUGUUGGCGUGAACUUCUCGGUAACAAGUGAACGUAUAGAAGCACGUAUAGAAGAACGUCGGCAGAGAUUUUAAAUUUCGUUCAGUCACAUUUGGACACAAUAUGCCGCGAAGUGAAAUGAAGUUAUUAAUUCGCGAUAUUCGGAAGUGGAGAGAAACAGUUUUUUUUUUAAAUAUCCGGCAAGAGACGUGGUGUGUAGCUGCAGAAAGUUGGAGAUGUAGAAGCAGGCUACUUAUAGGGUUGCACUCUUGGGGUACCGGGGCUUAAUCCGCUUGGACUGAAAAAUGUCUCAUACUCCAGUCGCAUGCUGGAAAAGAAAAUCUGUUACGUGUACGGUGGAAAUAGAAAACAAACAUGAUGGAAAUAGACAAUAGAUGAUAAAUUGAUAAUUUAUUAUCGCGAAAUUUGGAGGUCCAACACUCCUCAUCUUUGAGUGAUUUAGGUGAAUGCUACACAGUAUUUUAAAUUGUGUAUUACUUAUGUGCAAUGUAAUAUGUGAACUUCAAGCUUUGUGGAAAUAUAACUUUUCUCGUUAUUGAAAAGUGUGCAAAAUUCAAUCCCCAAAUACUUAUCAGCUGGAUAUCCUUUUAGGGCAAAUAAAACGGUUUUUUAUUUGAUCUUGAUUUCUACAAUAUUUGCACCUUGCACAGCAACUGACAGCAACUCAGUUCUAUUCCUUCUAUUUGUUCUCUACUCAAGAGUUGCAUUAUUAUGUGUGGCUUCAAUAGAUUUUACAAUUUCAAACUAUUCAGAAAUGACUCCAUAAACGAAUAAUACAUAAGAAAGUUCGUCAAUUUUGUUCCCUUUGAAGUCUCACGUGGAUCACUGUAAAGCUUGUAUUUUAAAUUGUGUAUUACAUAUGUACAAUUUAAUAUGUGAAGUUGAGGCUUUGUGGAAACAUAACUUUUCUCGUUAUUGAAAAGUGUGCAAAAUUCAAUCCCCAAAUAUUUAUCAGCUGGAUAUCAUUUUAGGGCAAAUGAAACGGUGUUUUAUUAGACCUUGAUUUCUACAAUUUUUGCACCUUGCACAGCAACUGACAGCAACUCAGUUCUAUUCCUUCUAUUUGUUCUCUACUCAAGAGUUGCAUUAUUAUGUGUGGCUUCAAUAGAUUUUACAAUUUCAAACUAUUCGGAAAUGACUCCAUAAACGAAUAAUACAUAAGAAAGUUCGUCAAUUUUGUUCCCUUUGAAGUCUCACGUGGAUCACUGUAAAGCUUGUAUUUUAAAUUGUGUAUUACAUAUGUACAAUUUAAUAUGUGAAGUUGAGGCUUUGUGGAAACAUAACUUUUCUCGUUAUUGAAAAGUGUGCAAAAUUCAAUCCCCAAAUAUUUAUCAGCUGGAUAUCAUUUUAGGGCAAAUGAAACGGUGUUUUAUUAGACCUUGAUUUCUACAAUUUUUGCACCUUGCACAGCAACUGACAGCAACUCAGUUCUAUUCCUUCUAUUUGUUCUCUACUCAAGAGUUGCAUUAUUAUGUGUGGCUUCAAUAGAUUUUACAAUUUCAAACUAUUCAGAAAUGACUCCAUAAACGAAUAAUACAUAAGAAAGUUCGUCAAUUUUGUUCCCUUUGAAGUCUCACGUGGAUCACUGUAAAGCUUGUAUUUUAAAUUGUGUAUUACAUAUGUACAAUUUAAUAUGUGAAGUUGAGGCUUUGUGGAAACAUAACUUUUCUCGUUAUUGAAAAGUGUGCAAAAUUCAAUCCCCAAAUAUUUAUCAGCUGGAUAUCAUUUUAGGGCAAAUGAAACGGUGUUUUAUUAGACCUUGAUUUCUACAAUUUUUGCACCUUGCACAGCAACUGACAGCAACUCAGUUCUAUUCCUUCUAUUUGUUCUCUACUCAAGAGUUGCAUUAUUAUGUGUGGCUUCAAUAGAUUUUACAAUUUCAAACUAUUCAGAAAUGACUCCAUAAACGAAUAAUACAUAAGAAAGUUCGUCAAUUUUGUUCCCUUUGAAGUCUCACGUGGAUCACUGUAAAGCUUGUAUUUUAAAUUGUGUAUUACAUAUGUACAAUUUAAUAUGUGAAGUUGAGGCUUUGUGGAAACAUAACUUUUCUCGUUAUUGAAAAGUGUGCAAAAUUCAAUCCCCAAAUAUUUAUCAGCUGGAUAUCAUUUUAGGGCAAAUGAAACGGUGUUUUAUUAGACCUUGAUUUCUACAAUUUUUGCACCUUGCACAGCAACUGACAGCAACUCAGUUCUAUUCCUUCUAUUUGUUCUCUACUCAAGAGUUGCAUUAUUAUGUGUGGCUUCAAUAGAUUUUACAAUUUCAAACUAUUCAGAAAUGACUCCAUAAACGAAUAAUACAUAAGAAAGUUCGUCAAUUUUGUUCCCUUUGAAGUCUCACGUGGAUCACUGUAAAGCUUGUAUUUUAAAUUGUGUAUUACAUAUGUACAAUUUAAUAUGUGAAGUUGAGGCUUUGUGGAAACAUAACUUUUCUCGUUAUUGAAAAGUGUGCAAAAUUCAAUCCCCAAAUAUUUAUCAGCUGGAUAUCAUUUUAGGGCAAAUGAAACGGUGUUUUAUUAGACCUUGAUUUCUACAAUUUUUGCACCUUGCACAGCAACUGACAGCAACUCAGUUCUAUUCCUUCUAUUUGUUCUCUACUCAAGAGUUGCAUUAUUAUGUGUGGCUUCAAUAGAUUUUACAAUUUCAAACUAUUCAGAAAUGACUCCAUAAACGAAUAAUACAUAAGAAAGUUCGUCAAUUUUGUUCCCUUUGAAGUCUCACGUGGAUCACUGUAAAGCUUGUACUUUAAAUUGUGUAUUACAUAUGUACAAUUUAAUAUGUGAAGUUGAGGCUUUGUGGAAACAUAACUUUUCUCGUUAUUGAAAAGUGUGCAAAAUUCAAUCCCCAAAUAUUUAUCAGCUGGAUAUCCUUUUAGGGCAAAUGAAACGGUGUUUUAUUAGAUCUUGAUUUCUACAAUAUUUGCACCUUGCACAGCAACUGACAGCAACUCAGUUCUAUUCCUUCUAUUUGUUCUCUACUCAAGAGUUGCAUUAUUAUGUGUGGCUUCAAUAGAUUUUACAAUUUCAAACUAUUCAGAAAUGACUCCAUAAACGAAUAAUACAUAAGAAAGUUCGUCAAUUUUGUUCCCUUUGAAGUCUCACGUGGAUCACUGUAAAGCUUGUAUUUUAAAUUGUGUAUUACAUAUGUACAAUUUAAUAUGUGAAGUUGAGGCUUUGUGGAAACAUAACUUUUCUCGU